GACAGAAAUCCACUUCAUCCUUCCAACAGGCAAGCAAGUCCAGUGGAUUUGUACCCUUCCAGUGUCCUACUUCAAAGCUGCUUAGAAAAAUACGCCAUUUGCAAAAUCUGAGGCGCCAUCAUGAUCGUUGUGAGGAUCGUUAUGAGAAGGCUAAAAAAGAGAUAGCUGAGAGACAGAGGUCAAUCUUAAAAGGAAGACUGCCUUACCUGCAGGGGAAAGGGCUGGAUGACAUUGAG